rnacentral:rRNA from 1 species
CCUACGGGUGGCAGCAGUAGGGAAUAUUGCUCAAUGGGGGAAACCCUGAAGCAGCAACGCCGCGUGGAGGAUGAAGGUUUUCGGAUUGUAAACUCCUUUUGUUAGAGAAGAUAAUGACGGUAUCUAACGAAUAAGCACCUGCUAACUCCGUGCCAGCAGCCGCGGUAAUACGGAGGGUGCAAGCGUUACGCGGAAUCACUGGUCGUAAAGAGCGCGUAGGCGGGAUAGCAAGUCAGAUGUGAAAUCCUAUGGCUUAACCAUAGAACUGCAUUUGAAACUGUUAUUCUAGAGUAUGGGAGAGGUAGGUAGAAUUCUUGGUGUAGGGGUAAAAUGCGUAGAGAUCAAGAGGAAUACUCAUUGCGAAGGCGACCUGCUAGAACAUAACUGACGCUGAUGUGCGAAAGCGUGGGGAGCAAACAGGAUUAGAUACCCCAGUAGUC